AUUCGUUCCUCCAAAUUCUGUUAUCCAUUCACCAUCGACUCCCUGCAAAUCAGCAAAAUGCCCAUAUAAAGUAUGCUGUCUAUUCGCAGUUUUCUCCUGCGGCGCCUCUUUCUCACAUCAUUACCAUCAUCUUCUUCAUUCCGACGGACAAGAACAAAAAUAAAAAUGCAUCCCGACCUCUCCCGCAGCUUUAUACGUUUACCUCAAAUCACGCUCUCCCCCACACACCUACUCCAUGCCAAUGAAUCAUCGUCUCCAGCAUACACACCCCCUGUCUCCACUCAAGCUCAAAUUCCAUUAUCACUGCCUGCUUCACCAGCGCUGGAACCUGAGGAGAUGGCUCACAUUAUUACAGAGCUGCAGUCACCGGCGGUUAAUGAAGAGAGAAGAAGAGUGUUACUAAAGUUGGUAGGUAUCGAGGAUCAGUCCUGCGGAUGUGCGGAUGCGCUGGAUAGAAACCAAUCCAAUUGAGAUCUUCACUUGUUAGUGGAAUAGGAACGCAAGAACGCUUUUCUAUAGGCCCAAAAAAUGUCCAAGAUACAUGUCUGGAUGCA
rnacentral:sRNA from 1 species